GACGAACGCUGGCGGCGUGCUUAACACAUGCAAGUCGAACGGAAAGGCCCCAGCUUGCUGGGGUACUCGAGUGGCGAACGGGUGAGUAACACGUGGGUGAUCUGCCCUGCACUCUGGGAUAAGCCUGGGAAACUGGGUCUAAUACCGGAUAGGACCGUGCCUUAGUGUGUGCGGUGGAAAGUUUUUCGGUGCAGGAUGAGCCCGCGGCCUAUCAGCUUGUUGGUGGGGUAAUGGCCUACCAAGGCGGCGACGGGUAGCCGGCCUGAGAGGGUGUACGGCCACAUUGGGACUGAGACACGGCCCAGACUCCUACGGGAGGCAGCAGUGGGGAAUAUUGCACAAUGGGCGCAAGCCUGAUGCAGCGACGCCGCGUGGGGGAUGACGGCCUUCGGGUUGUAAACCCCUUUCGGCAGGGACGAAGCUUUUGUGACGGUACCUGCAUAAGAAGCACCGGCUAACUACGUG
rnacentral:rRNA from 1 species